rnacentral:tRNA from 1 species
GGUGCUGUGGCCGAGAGGCGAGGCAGCGGUCUGCAAAGCCGCGUACACGGGUUCGAGUCCCGUCAGCACCUCCA